rnacentral:rRNA from 1 species
CAGGGAUUGCCCCAGUAACGGCGAGUGAAGCGGCAACAGCUCAAAUUUGAAAUCUGGCUCCUCGGGGGCCCGAGUUGUAAUUUGUAGAGGGUGCUUCGGCGCUGGCGCCAGCCUAAGUUCCUUGGAACAGGACGUCACAGAGGGUGAGAAUCCCGUACGUGGCCGGCUGCCUUCGCCAUGUGAAGCCCCUUCGACGAGUCGAGUUGUUUGGGAAUGCAGCUCUAAAUGGGAGGUAAAUUUCUUCUAAAGCUAAAUAUUGGCCAGAGACCGAUAGCGCACAAGUAGAGUGAUCGAAAGAUGAAAAGCACUUUGGAAAGAGAGUCAAAAAGCACGUGAAAUUGUUGAAAGGGAAGCGCUUGCAGCCAGACUUGCCCGCAGUUGCUCAUCCGGGCCCUCGCCCGGUGCACUCUUCUGCGGGCAGGCCAGCAUCAGUUUGGGCGGCCGGAUAAAGGCCUCGGGAACGUAGCUCCCCCCGGGGAGUGUUAUAGCCCGUGGCGCCAUGCGGCCAGCCCGGACUGAGGUCCGCGCGUCUGCUAGGAUGCUGGCGUAAUGGCUGUAAGCGGCCCGUCUUGAAACACGGACCAAGGAGUCUAACAUCUAUGCGAGUGUUUGGGUGUCAAGCCCGGGCGCGCAAUGAAAGUGAACGGAGGUGGGAACCCUUCCGGGGUGCACCAUCGACCGAUCCUGAUGUCUUCGGAUGGAUUUGAGUAAGAGCAUAGCUGUUGGGACCCGAAAGAUGGUGAACUAUGCCUGAAUAGGGUGAAGCCAGAGGAAACUCUGGUGGAGGCUCGCAGCGGUUCUGACGUGCAAAUCGAUCGUCAAAUUUGGGCAUAGGGGCGAAAGACUAAUCGAACUAUCU